AUUCUGCAAUGAUGAAGGGGGAUGAUUGAAAAGAGCUGGACUAAAUUGGUCUAACUAGGACACUUGAAGGCUUGUGAAUCAGUUCACACGAUCAGUGUGAAAAGCGGGUAUGAAGACCCAGAUGCUGGUGUGUACGUGUGCAUAUAAGCCCCAACAGCUAGAAAUCAAGCCUUUCUGGCUUCCGAUUGUUGGAGAAGUGGAAACAGUUAAUGGAGUAUGCAAUGAGAUUCUGCCAGAAACGGAGUAGAAAAACUGUGGCUCACCCGGGACCCAGUCUUUCCCCAGGUUCCCCACAGAUGAGCUCUGAAUCUGUUAUAAUUGACUCACCACGACCUGCAUGUACACAUGGAAUUCCUCAUGGCAUCCUUAGAUCUUUUUUGCCACAUCCUUUUGCUCUGACUCGAAGAGGAAGCCAACCCAUCU
rnacentral:lncRNA from 1 species